rnacentral:rRNA from 1 species
AACAAACGCUGGCGGCGUGCCUAACACAUGCAAGUCGUACGAGAAAGUCGGCUUCGGCCGAUGAGUACAGUGGCGCACGGGUGAGUAGCGCGUGGGUAAUCUGCCCCCCGGUCAGGAAUAACCCGCCGAAAGGCGGGCUAAUACCCGAUAACACUGACGCUCCGCGGAGCGUCUUUCAAAGAAGGCCUCUGUUUACUAAGCUUUCGUCCGGAGGAUGAGCCCGCGUACCAUUAGCUAGUUGGCAGGGUAAUGGCCUACCAAGGCUACGAUGGUUAGCUGGUCUGAGAGGAUGGCCAGCCACACUGGAACUGAGACACGGUCCAGACUCCUACGGGAGGGCAGCAGUGAGGAAUCUUGCGCAAUGGGGGAAACCCUGACGCAGCAACGCCGCGUGAGUGAGGAAGGCCUUCGGUCGUAAGACGUCUGUCAGAUGGGAAGGAAAUAGGAUGGGGGCGGUAAUAUACGCCCACUCCUUCGACGGUACCGACUCAGAGGAAGGCACCGGCCGUAACUACCC